UUGUCUGCAGAGAGUAAAAGGGAGAGUUUAAGGAGUGGAAAAUCUCCAGAAGGUUACAAAGAGUCAGAAGUGUCAGAGUAGGGGGUUAAAAAAAACAACACAAAAACUGAGACCUUGGAGUGAUUCAGAAGGGGCAGGUUUCUGACCAGACAAAGCUAAAGGAAGCAGCUGCACGGGCAGAAAAGAGAUUCAGAAGAGAAGCCUGAGCUGGAGGAGUGAAGUCCCAGAGAAGAGACUUGGAUUCCUGAAAAGAAACAGAUUCUAAUCCUGAAGAAUGCUCACAAGUGUAUAAAGAAAAAGAAAAGAACUGCAGUGCCUCCUUCUGCAUUGACAGAAUACUAUGAGACCAUCACUAUUACAGAAUUUUUCAUUUUUCCCUCUUGUCUGCAUAAAGAUGUACCUACAAAUAGAAAAGGAAUUGGCAAGAUUCAACAGUUAUCUUCUAUUAUUUUAUAGCUUUAUUUAAUAAAAUGCUCUGGAUAUAGA